UGUUUGCACUUAGCGGUAAGGGUAAGAACCUUCGACUAAGGUUCGACUCGAGCGCCAGCGAGAGAACGUUGCCGCAGGCAACGGCCCGAAGGGCGAGGAGAGAUAGCGACGAGUUAUCCUUCCCCCACCACCA
rnacentral:sRNA from 1 species